GUAAAAGUCGUAACAAGGUUUCCGUAGGUGAACCUGCGGAGGAUCAUUAAAGAGUAAGGGUGCUCAGCGCCCGACCUCCAACCCUUUGUUGUUAAAACUACCUUGUUGCUUUGGCGGGACCGCUCGGUCUCGAGCCGCUGGGGAUUCGUCCCAGGCGAGCGCCCGCCAGAGUUAAACCAAACUCUUGUUAUUAAACCGGUCGUCUGAGUUAAAAUUUUGAAUAAAUCAAAACUUUCAACAACGGAUCUCUUGGUUCUCGCAUCGAUGAAGAACGCAGCGAAAUGCGAUAAGUAAUGUGAAUUGCAGAAUUCAGUGAAUCAUCGAAUCUUUGAACGCACAUUGCGCCCCUUGGUAUUCCGAGGGGCAUGCCUGUUCGAGCGUCAUUACACCACUCAAGCUAUGCUUGGUAUUGGGUGCCGUCCUUAGUUGGGCGCGCCUUAAAGACCUCGGCGAGGCCUCACCGGCUUUAGGCGUAGUAGAAUUUAUUCGAACGUCUGUCAAAGGAGAGGACUUCUGCCGACUGAAACCUUUAUUUUUCUAGGUUGACCUCGGAUCAGGUAGGGAUACCCGCUGAACUUAAG
rnacentral:rRNA from 1 species